AGUCAGCAGGGGGCGCGUGAGGCGGCCUGGCCUGGCGGCUCCAGCUGAAAUCAGCACAGCAGGAGGGAGGGUGACAGUGCCCUCCUAUGCAGGUCAAACUACUAACAAAUGAUGUGGCUGGAGAAUACUUGACAGCACGAUGACUAAACACGUCAGUAUAAAAUGAGAUCAUGAAGCAUGCUGUGCCCAGCUCUGCGGUUAGUUCACAGUAUUUUACAAAGCGUCGUUUCCAAACGCUCAGGAAACACCAGCUACCUAUAAUAACGCGUGACACGCACCUUCUUCAACACUCAGCACAGCUCUGCAAUAAUGGCCCAGCCUGAUCUUCACGUUGGAGGUGAGGACACAGGCCCUGGAGGAUUCAAGUGGCAAGGUCACAGAAGUGGUCACAGGGGACCACAGCCCCCCCUGCCUGGACUGCCCUAGGCUCUGGAUCUGUAACCCCUGGCUUGCUCCCCAUUCGCCUGCCUGACCACAGCUCCGAGGCCUCUGAAAAGCCUGGCAAGCCCGGUCACCUGGUCACCCUAUGACCCCACACCCUGCAGCUGCACUGAGCUUCACUGACCUUGGGUGGGGAUGCCUCCUGAGGGCUCUUUCUGUUGUUCUCGCAUCUCUCCAGCCACAUAUUAAAGUGACUCAGACCAUU